rnacentral:rRNA from 1 species
CAGCCGCCGCGGUAAUACCGGCGGCCCGAGUGGCGGUCACUAUUAUUGGGCUUAAAGCGUCCGUAGCCGGGUUGGGAAGUCCUCCGGGAAAUCUGGCCGCUUAACGGUCAGAAUGCCGGAGGAUACUCCCAGCCUAGGGAGCGGGAGAGGCCGAGGGUAUUCCCGGAGUAGGGGUGAAAUCCUAUAAUCCCGGGCGGACCACCUGUGGCGAAGGCGCUCGGCUGGGACGCGUCCGACGGUGAGGGACGAAGGCCAGGGGAGCAAACCGGAUUAGAUACCCGGGUAGUCCUGGCUGUAAACGAUGCGGACUUUGUGUCGGACAAGCUAUGAGCUUGUCCGGUGCCGGAGGGAAACCGUUAAGUCCGCCGCCUGGGGAGUACGGCCGCAAGGCUGAAACUUAAAGGAAUUGGCGGG